UUUAAUCCUCAAUAAAUGGCAGAUGAGGCUACAUUUAUGAGAAAGAUGUCAGUCUUUGGCAUUCUGCCAUUAGAAAACCAAGUCUGGACUUUAAAAUUAGCAGCACGCCAGGCUGGAGGAGCAUAUGCAAAUCACACGCAGAUGUGGCCUUCACCCUGGUGAGAGUCUCAGAAGACUGCUGCUUUCUGUCAUCAGAAAGAAAAUGUCACAGGGACUGAGGAAGCGGUUUUCUGUGUGAGAGACUUGAGUUGGACAAGCAAGAUGAAGACAGUUGCCCAGGUUCAUGUGGUUGACAAGUGGUAAAACCGAGAUCAUCACCCAGGUUUCCUGUGGCGGAUACAGAAUUCUUUCAGCUUGAACUCUUUUGCUUUCCUAAUUGGAACUUUCCAGAAAGUCUGAACACAUUGCCCUACUUGAACUGAUAGAAUAGCAGCUGCCUGAGGACUCUGCUGGACUGCUGGGGCCUUCUGUCCUCCCUCCGUGUCCAUGAGAGUGAUGCUGUGAUAAGUGCCAAUUCAAGGUUGAGGGGCUGGCUGCCCUCCAGAAUCCCAUUGUUUAUGCCCUUCCUUGUAUUUAACGUUCUGUUUCCUUAAUUACUGAUGCUGAAUCUGAUCAAGAACCCAGGUGUGCCACCUCCUGCAGAUCCAUGUUGUCUUGAAGGUUCAGGAAUCCACAGUCUAGUUGGAAAACAGUCGUAAAGGGAGAAGGAAGGAAAUACUAGUUGCCUUGACUCAAAAAUAUGGCGAGAGAACUUUGUAACAUAGAAAGGUUAAAAGAUUGCAGCCACUUCUUUGAUAGUUCUAUUGUGGUUUGUUUUACACAAUGCUGUUUGCUGUAUGAAGACAAUCCCUAUCUAUUAGAAGUGAUAAGCAGAACAAGGCCCACCCUGACUCCCCACCUUUCUCUUAUCAAACUGUAUCUGAUGAAUGAAUCAACAGGAAGUUUUGCUAGAAGAAUUGGUGGCUGGGGUUUAUACAGCAAACAGUGAGUGGUUUAGAAGUAUCAUAGGACCAAGCCUCAGCCUUGCCCCCCUGCAGUAUGGUGGGGCCCAGGUCAAAAAUAAGGCAAGUGUAUGUCAAAAGCAAACCACUGGCUCUGGGGUUUUCUUUUGUUUUGUUCUCUGGGAAGUGUCCCUUGUCUGAUAUGAUACAUGGUGUUCCAGCUCAAACUGUCCAGGUGCACCGCUAAACUUUUCUACAGGGAGAGGAAAUGAUGGAGUACAACAUAGCUACAAUUUAAUGCAAGCAAAGUGUCACUAAUAAACUUCAAGGCUCAAAGUACAAAGGAAUCCUUUUCAGGUGCUCUCUGCUGUUCUAUUUUAUUUCAGAACCCUGACUUUGAGGGCUUCCGUUUAUCUGGAUAGAUCUACCGGUGCUGACUCAUUCAUUCCUCAGUUUAGAAAAUCUUUAUUGAGUCCUGUGCACUGUGCUGGGCACUCAGGACCCUGAGAAUCUGAUAAUCAUAGCUCCUGAUGAUAUGGAUAUUGUAGAAAAGCUAUUGCUUUUAACCUUAAUCUACUUUCUAAACUGGUCUUUCUCCACCAGUUCUAUAAGAGAAUUAAGCUGUACAGAAAAUGAUUUGAGUGACAGUUUCUCAAUUGUCUGAAGGAUGAAAGUAGUCGGUACCAUUCCAGAUACACUGGAGAUGAGUUAAUUCAUCACCUGCUAUGCAUACUUUAAAUAUUAGAGCUAAAUGGACCUUUAUUGAUGAGGGUUUAUUGGGUUUCUCAGAAGGAAUAGGUCCUAUCUUCUUCAAGCCCCUGCUACAACCUUUGUUAAAACUAGUACCAGGAGACAUUCAUAAGGAUUAGGAGAUUCAUAACACCCUCCCUCCUCCAUACACAACUGGCCUUGAGGAGAGAAAGAACAAAUAAAAAUCAGUAUAUUCUUCUAAAAAAAAUAACCUGUAGUGUUGAACAAACUGGGUGACUAUUUUAUGAGUGAAGAUGCUGUUCAGAGGUGAUUGGUAAUCAGAGAGUAAGAUAUAUUGAAAUUUGUCUGGGAAGGAUGUGAAGCAGCUAGGAGUCUCUGUGGACUAAAGAAAGUUGAGGACCAGGCAUUUAAUAAUAUCUGUUGUGAACGUGCAGUGAACUAGCAUCUCUUUAAAUGUUUUUGAGAGCUGAAAAUAAAGAUUGGAAUUCCCAUUUUACUCAUGAUUUUAAAGACAUUUCUCUUGGCCAGGACCACAUGGAUUUUGGUUUGAGUAGGGUUACAUUCCUGUGAGUUCAGGUGUACCAGCUCUUGGUUUGAUGAGGUGCCUGUGAUCCAGUUCUUGGGUACUAGCUUUUAUGGUAUCAGUUUCCCUAUCUCUUAUAUUUCAGAUUAUCUAUCCUGGAUCACCUCUUUAUCUCUCCAUUUACUCCUCUCGCAGUUUAGGAUUCUCCAGAAAAGUAGUAUAUUCAUAUAUAGAUACACAUGCACACAUAUAUUAAAAGAUGCUCACUCCUUGGAAGGAAAGUUAUGACCAACCUAGACAGCAUAUUAAAAAGCAGAGACAUUACUUUGCCAACAAAAGUCCCUCUGGUCAAGGCUAUGGUCAUGUAUGGAUGUGAGAGUUGGACUGUGAAGAAAGCUGAGUGCUGAAAAAUUGAUGCUUUUGAACUGUGGUGUUGGAGAAAGCUCUUGACAGUCCCUUGGACUGCAAAGAGAUCCAGCCAGUCCAUUCCAAAGGAGAUCAGUCCUGG
ensembl:lncRNA